UGCUGGGAUUACAGGCGUGAGCCACCGCGCCCGGCCAGAAUGAGAUUUUUAACACGAGCAGGAAGCACUCCAUGUAAACCUACUGUUUAAUUGGAUAUUGUACUCAAAGGUGCUUCUCUAAAUGAGCCAGUGAAAACCCAAGUGGGCGUUGGAUAAUACUUAACAGAUAGGGUUGCAUAGUUUCAGUGUAACGGUGCCUCUGUGGGUUACAGCACCAUGGUCAAAACUGGAAAAAUAGUUUCUUAGAAACGAAUAAAGGCAAACUAUGGGAAAAUGGUCAUGGAAGGCUCUCUCACUAAGAAGAAGAAAACUCAGAAUGUCUUGUUAUUAGCAACAUAGAUCUCCAACUAAAGGGCUUACUCAUCCCUGCACUUGUGAUGUCUGCAUGGAGAUGAAACAGAGAUUCAAAAGGGUCAGGUCACUGGCUCCAGGUCAACUCUACUACUAAACAGAAAAGCAAGGACCAAAAUUCAGAUCUUUGUGACCCUCAAUGCCACUAUGCCAUGCGAUGAUGCCUGCCUCUUUUAGAGGCCAACUAAUAGGCCAACUUGAUUUUCUUGAGGAAUGGCCGAAUGGAAGUUGAAUGGUUGAAGGUGACUGGCAAACAGAGAAACAAGGCACCAAGAACUGGCUAUUUCCAAACGUGGGCAAUCAGCUUCUGAAUGAAUAGUUCAGAAUGAUGCAGCUCUGGAUGUUGGAAAGGACAAUUCCGGCGUUUUACUCUUCUGACCAGUUUCUUCGUUUUCAUAACUCUACUUGAAGAACAUAUGAUGUUUGCCAGUGUCUGACAUUACGGACCUCACAGCUUACUGAAUCUGAAAACAGGAGAUAGAGAUGGAAAGGAAAGCCUCAGGAACUUGUUGCAAUAGGGACUGCCAGGUCCCGUUGCACUAUUGGUGGAAGAGAGGUCCACACGGUGCCUACGAUAAGCGAUUUGUUCGUAUCUAUCCAGACUGCAGGUGCAUACAGCCACUCAUCCUCAAAUGCCAUCCUCAGGAGUUUAUGCUGCACACAGACUGGCACAUGUGCAGGAAGACAUAGUGCAGGGCUACGUGCUACAACAUUGUUGGUGACAGCAACAUAUUGGAAGCAACCUGAAUUUUUGUUAAUAGAGGAUUGGCUACAUAAAUGAUGCUAAUCUAUACAACUGGAGUACUAUGAUGCCAUAAAAAAGAAUGUACAAGGUCUUUACGUUUGGAAAGAUCUCUAAGAUAUAAUGACCUGAACCUCAGGAGAUCUGGAGUAUGUGCUGAAUUCUACUGGGAACUGAGCCCUCUGAAUAUUAUUAUUGUUUUGCUAAUACUUUUUGCUGGAAAGUACAUCAAACCAGGAUGUGUUGUACCUCUUGCUUUGCCAGACUAUUUAAAAGCAAAAGUGACCAGAUAUCCAACUUAAGGCUGAUCCAGGUUUUUCAUGAUCUAGCCAGGGGAGACAAACCUUCCAGGAAAGUCUCUAGCGAAGGCCAAGGAUUUUAGAAAGUAUCUGUGAACAAAGAAAUGCAAUGUUAGUGGGCUAAUUUCCAUAAUCAAAUGAAGCUGAUGCAAGUGCUUUGUGAAUUGAUGCCCAUCAACGAGAGACUGGAUAAAGAAAAUGUGGCACAUAUACGCCAUGGAAUACUAUGUAGCCGUAAAAAUG
rnacentral:lncRNA from 1 species